GAUGAACGCUGGCGGCGUGCCUAAUACAUGCAAGUCGAGCGAACAGACGAGGAGCUUGCUCCUCUGACGUUAGCGGCGGACGGGUGAGUAACACGUGGAUAACCUACCUAUAAGACUGGGAUAACCUCGGGAAACCGGAGCUAAUACCGGAUAAUAUAUUGAACCGCAUGGUUCAAUAGUGAAAGACGGUUUUGCUGUCACUUAUAGAUGGAUCCGCGCCGCAUUAGCUAGUUGGUAAGGUAACGGCUUACCAAGGCAACGAUGCGUAGCCGACCUGAGAGGGGGAUCGGCCACACUGGAACUGAGACACGGUCCAGACUCCUACGGGAGGCAGCAGUAGGGAAUCUUCCGCAAUGGGCGAAAGCCUGACGGAGCAACGCCGCGUGAGUGAUGAAGGGCUUCGGAUCGUAAAACUCUGUUAUUAGGGAAGAACAAAUGUGUAAGUAACUAUGCACGUCUUGACGGUACCUAAUCAGAAAGCCACGGCUAACUACGU
rnacentral:rRNA from 1 species